UCGGAGUGAGACAGCUUGGGAUCAGCUUAGUGAGCAUCACCCUACCGGGCAAAGAACCUGGGAGUUAUGAUACCAUCCUGCAUCUGGGCUCGGAUGCGAUACCCCGCAGAGGACCACCCCCGAAUUGUGAAGCACUCCCACUGGGGCCAAUCAGGGGCAAAAGCAAAUCAGGGGGCAAAAGGUUAGCACAACUCCCCCUACACUGAUACUCUAUCCUACGGCAGGUAUGGUACCGCACUUGCCAGUCUC
rnacentral:lncRNA from 1 species